rnacentral:rRNA from 1 species
CAGCCGCCGCGGUAACACGAAGGGGGCUAGCGUUGUUCGGAAUUACUGGGCGUAAAGCGCACGUAGGCGGACAUUUAAGUCAGGGGUGAAAUCCCGGGGCUCAACCCCGGAACUGCCUUUGAUACUGGGUGUCUAGAGUAUGGAAGAGGUGAGUGGAAUUCCGAGUGUAGAGGUGAAAUUCGUAGAUAUUCGGAGGAACACCAGUGGCGAAGGCGGCUCACUGGUCCAUUACUGACGCUGAGGUGCGAAAGCGUGGGGAGCAAACAGGAUUAGAUACCCCAGUAGUCCCUGUCUCUUAUAU